CCCAGCAUAGGAGCCCUAGUUACAAUAUCCAAAAAGUAGAAACAACCCAAAUGUCCAUCGGCUGAUGAAGUAAAAGUACCUUGUGGUCCAUCUACAUGAUGGAAUGUUACUCAGCCACGGAAGGACUGAAGCACUGACACGUGCUACCACGUGGGUAAGCCUUGGACACAUCAUGCUGAGUGUGAGAGAAGCCAGACACAGAAGCCCAUAUGUGAGUCCAUCUAUAUGGAUUGUCCAGAAGAGGCAAAUCCACAGACAGGAAGCAGACUGGUGGUUGCCAGACACUUGGG